UACGUUCCCGGGUCUUGUACACACCGCCCGUCACACCAUGGGAGCGGGUUUUACCAGAAGUAGGUAGCCUAACCGUAAGGAGGGCGCUUACCACGGUAGGAUUCGUGACUGGGGUG
rnacentral:rRNA from 1 species